rnacentral:rRNA from 1 species
GAUGAACGCUGGCGGCGUGCCUAAUACAUGCAAGUCGAGCGAACGGACGAGAAGCUUGCUUCUCUGAUGUUAGCGGCGGACGGGUGAGUAACACGUGGAUAACCUACCUAUAAGACUGGGAUAACUUCGGGAAACCGGAGCUAAUACCGGAUAAUAUUUUGAACCGCAUGGUUCAAAAGUGAAAGACGGUCUUUCUGUCACUUAUAGAUGGAUCCGCGCUGCAUUAGCUAGUUGGUAAGGUAACGGCUUACCAAGGCAACGAUGCAUAGCCGACCUGAGAGGGUGAUCGGCCAAACUGGAACUGAGACACGGUCCAGACUCCUACGGGAGGCAGCAGUAGGGAAUAUUCCGCAAUGGGCGAAAGCCUGACGGAGCAACGCCGCGUGAGUGAUGAAGGUCUUCGGAUCGUAAAACUCUGUUAUUAGGGAAGAACAAAUGUGUAAGUAACUGUGCACAUAUUGACGGUACCUAAUCAGAAAGCCACGGCUAACUACGUG